AAUGGCAAAUCCCUAGAAAACAAAUGAGAAAUGAAAUGAAGUUGUACCAAUUCUGAGUUUGGUGAAGGGUAGGAAAGAGUGCACUAUACCUCUAAAAAACAGGUACGAUAACAAUAAACCCGUUUUAGACUAGCUUAUGAUAAAUAUAAGACAUAUUAGGAUUCUUGAUCCACAAGUGGGGUCUUACUUAACAACAAUAUCAUGUCCCUUAGUUGCGCCAGUUUUGAAGUUCAAAAAAAGGCAUAUUGCUGUGAGUGCAGGGUUUGCACAACCACAAAAAGAAUAUUCACAACAUCAUAAAAUGCCAAUAAUAUGUGUACUUUAAAAGGGCAUUAUCUUGAUACCUUCCCGAUAGCAGCAGUAGUGU
rnacentral:misc_RNA from 1 species